UACGAAGGGUGCAAGCGUUACUCGGAAUUACUGGGCGUAAAGGGUGCGUAGGCGGCGCGGUAAGUCGGGUGUGAAAUCUCGGGGCUUAACUCCGAAACUGCAUUCGAUACUGCCGUGCUUGAGGACUGGAGAGGAGACUGGAAUUUACGGUGUAGCGGUGAAAUGCGUAGAUAUCGUAAGGAAGACCAGUGGCGAAGGCGGGUCUCUGGGCCACUACUGACGCUGAGAAGCGAAAGCGUGGGGAGCGAACAGG
rnacentral:rRNA from 1 species